UCAUCGGUGGUUCAGUGGUAGAAUGCUCGCCUGAUACGCGGGCGGCCCGGGUUCGAUUCCCGGCCGAUGCA
rnacentral:tRNA from 1 species